GUCGAGAAUCUUUCACAAUGGGGGCAACCCUGAUGGAGCGACGCCGCGUGGAGGAUAAGGUCUUCGGAUUGUAAACUCCUGUCAUGCGUGAACAAGGUUGCUUGGUUAAUACCUGGGCAAAUUGAUGGUAACGCAAGAGGAAGAGACGGCUAACUCUGUGCCAGCAGCCGCGGUAAUACAGAGGUCUCAAGCGUUGUUCGGAAUCACUGGGCGUAAAGGGUGCGUAGGUGGCGUGGUAAGUCAGAUGUGAAAGCCCGGGGCUCAACCUCGGAACUGCAUCCGAUACUGCCAUGCUAGAGUACUGGAGAGGUGACUAGAAUCCUCGGUGUAGCAGUGAAAUGCGUAGAUAUCGAGAGGAAUACCAAAGGCGUAGGCAGGUCACUGGACAGUUACUGACACUGAGGCACGAAGGCCAGGGGAGCGAACGGGAUUAGAAACCCUUGUAGUCC
rnacentral:rRNA from 1 species